AAAAUCUCCCUUCAUCCCAUAUUAAGUGACUUUUUAUUACAUGUAUCUAGACGUUUUUUAGGCAUAGAUACAUCCAUAUUUAGACAAAUUUUAGUCACUUAAUAUGGGAUGGAGGAAGUAACAC
rnacentral:pre_miRNA from 1 species